AUGGCCGACGCGGGUCAAAGUGUAAUAUCUGUUCUUAUCAGCUUAAUAUCUGAUAAGGGUUGUAUUUAGACCCAAGAUAUUAAACUUCUACCCAAGAUAAUAAACGUUGGCGGAAUGCUUGAAACCUGCUUCAGCUCUGCCGUGGGUCGGCACGGUAAAGCACUAUCUUCGGCAUAUUUAGU